rnacentral:lncRNA from 1 species
CCUGACCCUUUUGUCUGUAUCACAGGGAUAAUAAUUUAUACCCGCCUCACAGGUCUGUAGCAUGAGAAAAGCUUGAUGAAGGAGCAGAUAUGCAAAGUGGCUUUUUAAUUAAAGACUCAUAGAUCAAAGAGAGCUUCUUGGAUUGCUUAGGUUUUACUGAGAUUCACCAGGAAAAACAGGUUUCAUAUUUCUGCUUGUUUACAGCAACACCGUAACAGUGAUGUUUAAUCAGGAAAGAGGUCAGUGACUAAUAAAGAUGAAGAAAUGGUCAGAGAAUGGAAGUGGCCUUGGGAUGGCAAGCUUGCCCAGCCAGUUAUAGCACAGGUGAGUGAAUAAGUCACAGUGAGGAUUGAAGGGAGCUUUGCAAUUAGCUUGGUCUACAAGUGGCAACAUGAAAGUGUGUGCUUGUCUUUGUCACCGCUGCAGGGUGCGGCUCUUCCACAGUGAGAAGAAUUGCCAAAGUUGACAGAGCUGUUGAUGAAAAAUGAAGUUCCAGAGGCAACUGUGAGCCACGUAAAUGACAUCAGUGCAGCCAGAGAACUGAGGAAUUUGCAGAGGAAAAUCCGGAGAAUUGUGGAUAACUGGCUGCGGUAUUAUCACACAGCCCUAGGAAUUGACAACAUACACCUUCAGAAAAUGUCUGGCUUUCAUCUGUGGCCCUUAAGGAAGGGCAUCAUUCAGUCUGCAGAUGCUGUCCCAGCUACCUCAGGUUUGCAGAGAUCACAAGGGAAGAGGAAAGAGAAGAGCCAAUCUCCCAAGUAA